CCCAGGUUUGUGCGGAAACUCCAAGCUUCUUCUUCAUGAUGCGUGGGCAGUACGAGUGCCUGUGGAGUGGGUUUUCUUAGACGGUUUAGAGUUUAGACUCUCUCUCUCUCUCUCUCUCUCUCUCUCUCUCUCUCUCUCUCUCUCUUCUCAAGCCUUCAAAAAUGAAGAAAAAAACGAUCAGAUGAAGAUAUUUUCGUGUACAUAGGACUGGGUUAGUAGUUUGGGAUCUCUUUUGUUCCUUUUUAUUUGUUACUAAUCGAUUGGGUUUGGCUCUUGGUGAUCGGAGAUCAAUAUCAAGGACCAUUUUUGGAUUCGUUUCUGGGUCGGCUAACGGUUACAAGAUUAAUGGCAUAGUGAAGAUCCCAACAGAAGAAGAAUGGCAAUUGUGAUCAAGCCACAAGAAGGAAGUACAACAAAAUGAGUUGUUUAGGUCUGAGCUUAUCAUCAUGUAGAGGAGGUAAGAGCAACUGAGAUAAAUUCAAUCUCUGUAAGUUAGCUUAUACUCUUCUUUGCAAUUUCGUAUGUUGAAUAGUUGUUGGAAUAAUGGUACUUGAUGUGGCAUUGUUUGUGUUCGUUUAUUUUGGUUGUAAAGUUUGGAUCUUGAAUAUUCUGGGUUGGAAACUCAUGGAGAAGUUUGAUCAAAAGGGUUUCUUGCUAGACUUUGUAUUGAA